rnacentral:rRNA from 1 species
GAGUUUGAUCAUGGCUCAGAUUGCACGCUGGCGGCAGGCCUAACACAUGCAAGUCGAGCGAGAAAGCACUUCGGUGUGAGUAGAGCGGCGGGCGGCGGACGGGUGAGUAACGCGUAGGAAUUUGCCCAGUAGUGGGGGACAACAUGUGGAAACGCAUGCUAAUACCGCAUACGCCCUACGGGGGAAAGCAGGGGAUCUUCGGACCUUGCGCUAUUGGAGAAGCCUGCGUCGGAUUAGCUAGUUGGUGGGGUAAAGGCCCACCAAGGCGACGAUCCGUAGCUGGUCUGAGAGGAUGAUCAGCCACACUGGGACUGAGACACGGCCCAGACUCCUACGGGAGGCAGCAGUGGGGAAUAUUGGACAAUGGGGGCAACCCUGAUCCAGCCAUGCCGCGUGUGUGAAGAAGGCCUUAGGGUUGUAAAGCACUUUCAGUAGGGAGGAAAAGUUAGUCGUUAAUAACGGCUAGCCGUGACGUUACCUACAGAAGAAGCACCGGCAAACUCCGUGCCAGCAGCCGCGGUAAUACGGAGGGUGCGAGCGUUAAUCGGAAUUACUGGGCGUAAAGCGCGCGUAGGCGGCCUGAUAAGUUGGAUGUGAAAGCCCUGGGCUCAACCUAGGAACUGCAUUCAAAACUGUCAGGCUAGAGUAUGGUAGAGGAUAGUGGAAUUUCCGGUGUAGCGGUGAAAUGCGUAGAGAUCGGAAGGAAUAUCAGUGGCGAAGGCGGCCCCCUGGCUUGAUACUGACGCUCAGGUGCGAAAGCGUGGGGAGCGAACAGGAUUAGAUACCCUGGUAGUCCACGCCGUAAACGAUGUCGACUAGCCGUUGGGGAGCUUGACUUCUUAGUGGCGCAGUUAACGCGAUAAGUCGACCGCCUGGGGAGUACGGCCGCAAGGUUAAAACUCAAAUGAAUUGACGGGGGCCCGCACAAGCGGUGGAGCAUGUGGUUUAAUUCGAUGCAACGCGAAGAACCUUACCAGGUCUUGACAUCCUGCGAACUUUCCAGAGAUGGAUUGGUGCCUUCGGGAACCGAGAGACAGGUGCUGCAUGGCUGUCGUCAGCUCGUGUCGUGAGAUGUUGGGUUAAGUCCCGUAACGAGCGCAACCCUUGUCCCUAGUUGCCAGCGAUUCGGUCGGGAACUCUAGGGAGACUGCCGGUGAUACCGCGAGGUGGAGCGAAUCUCAGAAAACCGUUCGUAGUCCGGAUUGGAGUCUGCAACUCGACUCCAUGAAGUCGGAAUCGCUAGUAAUCGCGGAUCAGAAUGUCGCGGUGAAUACGUUCCCGGGCCUUGUACACACCGCCCGUCACACCAUGGGAGUGGGCUGCACCAGAAGUAGGUUGCUUAACCUUCGGGAGAGCGCUUACCACGGUGUGGUUCAUGACUGGGGUGAAGUCGUAACAAGGUAGCCGUAGGGGAACCUGCGGCUGGAUCACCUCCUUC